rnacentral:rRNA from 1 species
UACGUAGGGUGCGAGCGUUAAUCGGAAUUACUGGGCGUAAAGCGUGCGCAGGCGGUUUUGUAAGUCAGAUGUGAAAGCCCCGGGCUCAACCUGGGAACUGCGCUUGAGACUGGCACGCUCGAGUUCGGGAGAGGAUGGUGGAAUUCCCAGUGUAGAGGUGAAAUUCGUAGAUAUUGGGAAGAACACCGAUGGCGAAGGCAGCCAUCUGGACCGACACUGACGCUGAGGCGCGAAAGCGUGGGGAGCAAACAGG